rnacentral:tRNA from 1 species
GCGGGCAUGGCGGAAUUGGUAGACGCAGCAGGUUUAGGUCCUGCCGCCUUAUAAGCGUGGGGGUUCGAGCCCCUCUGCCCGCACCA